GACAAACGCUGGCGGCGUGCCUAACACAUGCAAGUCGAACGGGGUAAAGAGCUUCGGUUUUUACUUAGUGGCGAACGGGUGAGUAACGCGUAAGCAAUCUGCCUAUCAGAGGGGAAUAACAGUGAGAAAUCACUGCUAAUACCGCAUAAGCUGUGAGUAUCACAUGAUACAAAUAGAAAAGGAGCAAUCCGCUGAUAGAUGAGCUUGCGCCUGAUUAGUUAGUUGGUGAGGUAACGGCUCACCAAGGCGACGAUCAGUAGCCGGUCUGAGAGGAUGAACGGCCACAUUGGGACUGAGAUACGGCCCAG
rnacentral:rRNA from 1 species